AUGAUUCGAAAGAGAAGCAAGCUAGGAAGGGCAAGAAGGGCAGCGGUUAGUGAGAUUAGGGGUGAAGAUGAUGACCAAUACAAGUGGUUGUGGGAUUAUGGGCAAGAGCUUAGAAGAAGCAACCCUGGCAGUACAUUUUUCCUUUGCACAAAGGAAUUGACCGAUGAGAAAACUAAAGUGACAAGAGACCAUUUCUCCACUCUUUAUUGGUCACUGGAUGCUUGUAAGAGAGGGUGGCUUGCUGGUUGUAGACCCAUCAUUUUUUUGGAUGGUUGUCAUAUAAAGACCAGGUACAAGGGGAACAUGUUGACAGCUGUAGGCAUUGACCCAAACUAUUGUAUAUUCCCCAUAGCCUUCGGUUUGUGUGAAGUAGGGUGUACUAGCAGUUGGGAAUGGUUCUUGGCAUCUUUGAAGGGUGAUCUUAAUAUAUGCAACUCAUCAUCCUACACAAUCAUGAGUGACAAGCAAAAGGGUCUAAUAAAUGCUGUGCAGAAGGUAUUCCCACAUGCAGAACACAGAUUUUGUGUUAGGCAUCUAUACCAAAAUUUCCACAAAGUGCAUAAGGGUGAGCAGUUGAAGAAUGAUCUUUGGUCGAUAGCAAGAUCCACCAAUGACAUUGCAUAUCAGAAGAAUAUGGACCAGAUAAAGUCACAUAGUGAGGCUGCAUACAAAUGGGUUGAGAAACAGGCACCGAGAACAUGGAUAAAGGCCUUUUUUAACCCAUUCCCCAAGUGUGAUAUAUUGCUUAACAACAUGUCAGAGGUAUUCAACAGUUACAUACUUGAGGCAAGAGAACUACCAGUUGUGUCAGCAUUGGACAACAUGCACAUCAAGUUAACCAACAGAAUUGUUAGCAAGCAAAGAGAGUCAGACAAGUGGACAGGGAGACUUUGUCCAAAGAUCCAGAAGAAGUUGGACAAGUUUGUCGAGUGGGCAGCUAAUUGUAUGGUCCAAGAAGCUGGUAAAGGGGUUUUCCAAGUAAAAUCCUUUAACAGCACAUACUUGGUGGAUCUCAACAUGAACAGUUGUGACUGUAAAAGAUGGGAGUUGUCUGGAAUACCAUGUCAUCAUGUUCUUGCAUGUGCUAGGCAUGAAAGAAUUGAGCCUGAAAGCUUGGUGCAUCCAUACUAUACUGUUGAGAGCUACAAGAAGGCCUAUGCGUACAACAUAAUGCCACUGAGGGACAAAGGUCACUGGGAAAAAAUGCAUGGAAUUGACGUGUACCCACCACUGUACACUAAAGUGAUGGGAAGGCCCAAAAAAACAAGAAAGAAAGAUCCAGAAGAGAAGAAAGACAAGAAUGGGGGGAUAAAGCUUACCAAGGCAGGGUCUACCAUGCACUGCUCUAUAUGUAAAGCACCUAAUCAUAACAAGAAAGGUCACCACAAGCAUGUUAAUGACAUUCAAAAUGAGCAGGUAGCAAAACAAGUAGAGGAAGAUUUUGAUGACCCUGGCAUUGUUGCUAACAUAAUGCCACAUACUGUGAGGCCAUUUCUUGAUCCAACACAAACUCCUGACUCUAUGGUUUUCAUGAUGCAGGAGCAGGAGAGGUUUGUAUAUCCACGUGUUAGAGACUUUGGUCCUCUACCAGAGUCAAAUUUCAUAGCAAAUGCUAGAGAAGAAGUUCCUCCUCCCAGAGUGACCACAGCAAUGACAAGGGGCAGGAUCAGAAGAGGUGGAACUGCUGCAUCUGGAGCAAGAGGUGGAAAUGCUGCAUCUGGGCACAAUGCAAGAGGAGGAGGAGCAUCAAAUGUUGCAAGAGGUGGAGGGCACAAUGCAAGAGGAGGAGCAUCAAAUGUUGCUGGAGGCGGAGGGCACAAUACAAGCGCAGGUGGAGGCCACAAUGCAAGAGGAGGAGGGCACAAUGCUAGAGGAGGGAAUAUUGCAAGAGGAGGUGGAGGCCACAAUGCUAGAGGAGGAGGGAAUGUUGCAAGAGGAGGAGGAGGCCACAAUGCUACAGGAGCAAAUGUGGCUAGAGGAGCAAGAGCUGCAGCUCCUGGCUUCUACAACCUCCGUUUUGGAGAUGAUGGAUCUAGUAGAACUUGGACUGAAGCAGCAAAUUUCAUGCUGGCCGAGGAAGAAGUUCUGAUCACUCAGAAUGCACCUGAUGAUGAAUGGCCUCAUGAUUUCCUAUCCCAGUGA
rnacentral:rRNA from 1 species